CCUCAGGAAGCCGAGCUUGCCUGGAUUCCCACCAUGGCCUGGGCCCCUCUGCUCCUCACGCUGCUCACUUACUGCUCAGGUUCUCUCGCCCAGUACGUGUCUGUGUCUCCAGGGCAAAAUGCUCAACUCACCUGCUCAGGGAACAACAUUGGGAGCUACCAUGUGCAGUGGUACCAACAGAAACCUGGCAGUGCCCCCCUACUGCUUAUCUAUCACAGUAGUAGUAGACCCUCCGAAAUCCCUGUUCGAUUCUCUGGGGCCAACUCCGGUAACACGGCCACGUUAACCAUCACUGGAGUCCAGGUGCAGGACGAGGCUGAUUAUCACUGUCAGGUGUGGGACAGCAGCAGUGAUCAGUAG